AAUGAAUUUGAAUGCCAAAGGUUUAGCAUCCAAAUUUCUUCAAUUCAAUUGUUAUCAUGUCUCUAAUGGAUGCUGAGAAGAUACAUUGAAGAAUUUCAAGGACAAUAACAGGCAAGUUCAUUCUCUGCAGAGUAAACGAUGAUAAGGGUUGAAAGAGUAAAAGGAUUUUAGAGCUCACGAUAUUGGCAUCUUAAUUUGUAUGACACUUGGUGGGUAGAUUUUGGCAUCUCCAAGCUAGUUGCAAUAAGGGAGCGAUCAAUUGAAUACCUCUUUUGGGCAGUUAGUCCGGUUGAUGAAGUGGAGAUUUCUAGUAAAGGAGUUGCUAUCACAAAAACCACAACUAUUGUCACAAUCAUGGAUGACAUUUUGUAUGACUAUGCAACACUCGAGAAACUCAAAUGUAUUACAGAGGCCAUCGCUCAAGGUUGGGAUGUUUCUAUUUUACAAAACAUUCCAAGCAACCUCAAGACAUGUAUUGAAUUUGUUUUCAAAAUGGUUCUUGAAUUGACAAGUGAUGUUGUGAAAAAGAAAGGGCAUGACAUAAUGCCUUUUGUUAUAAAAGCAGUGUGUAUAC